rnacentral:tRNA from 1 species
UCCCUGGUGGUCCAGUGGUUAAGAUGCCAUGCUUCCAAUGCAGGAAACCCGGGUUCGAUCCCUGGUCAGGGAA